UACGAAGGGGGCUAGCGUUGCUCGGAAUUACUGGGCGUAAAGCGCACGUAGGCGGCUUUCUAAGUCGGGGGUGAAAUCCUGGAGCUCAACUCCAGAACUGCCUUCGAUACUGGAGAGCUUGAGUCCGGGAGAGGUGAGUGGAACUGCGAGUGUAGAGGUGAAAUUCGUAGAUAUUCGCAAGAACACCAGUGGCGAAGGCGACUGACUGGACAAGUAUUGACGCUGAGGUGCGAAAGCGUGGGGAGCAAACAGG
rnacentral:rRNA from 1 species